rnacentral:rRNA from 1 species
AACGAACGCUGGCGGCAGGCUCAACACAUGCAAGUCGAGCGCCCCGCAAGGGGAGCGGCAGACGGGUGAGUAACGCGUGGGAACGUACCCUUUGCUACGGAAUAGCUCCGGGAAACUGGAAUUAAUACCGUAUGUGCCCUACGGGGGAAAGAUUUAUCGGCAAAGGAUCGGCCCGCGUUGGAUUAGCUAGUUGGUGGGGUAAUGGCUUACCAAGGCGACGAUCCAUAGCUGGUCUGAGAGGAUGAUCAGCCACAUUGGGACUGAGACACGGCCCAAACUCCUACGGGAGGCAGCAGUGGGGAAUAUUGGACAAUGGGCGCAAGCCUGAUCCAGCCAUGCCGCGUGAGUGAUGAAGGCCUUAGGGUUGUAAAGCUCUUUCACCGGAGAAGAUAAUGACGGUAUCCGGAGAAGAAGCCCCGGCUAACUUCGUGCCAGCCGCCGCAGUAACAC